CUCCCCCCAGGCAAGUGGCUGGCUGGAGCUCGCUAGCUGGCACACACACGCUCACACAAGCACGCAGGCGCACUUUCCUUCCGGAAGAGCCCCGGGAAAGGCACGCAGGGUCAGAAGCCUCCUUCCACUGCCUAACCUGUUCAGUCAGAUCCCAGCUUCUUCCUGCUGCGGCACCUUUGCCCAGGCUUCCUGCCACCGCACAGCUGCAGCCCCGGAGGUCAACCGUCGCCAUGCCCGCACAGGCAGCAGGGGACUCCCCAGGACGGGGAAGGGGACGUAAGGCAAGAAGUCCUUCUCUUCUUUGGGGGACCCGGUUUUCAAUCAUGACAAUGUUUGCGAGUCCCUGGAUGAAGGCAUAGCUGGACGCCCAUGGAUCAUUCUGCACACAGUAUCACAUCGCAGCUUUCUGGAGGUCCCUAUCACCCCAGGCUGGGCCAUGAGGAUUGACACUGCCACGCACCUGAGACAUUCCAGGGAGGACAGGCAGGGGGAGAACCGUGCCUGUUCUCACCAAGACCACAAUUUGGAAUACCCCUUCUGCAAGUCAAGUUGAAAGGAGAGAAAUGAGAAACUACAAUCCACCUACUGGGGGGGAGGGGGGAUCCAUCUCAGGGACACGCAGCCAACUCCCCCCAGUUCCCACUGCUCUGGGCGAGUCACUCCCAGCAGUGCUGAGCAAUUCUUAACACUUGACCCACUUUUAGUUCUUUUUUGGACUCUUUUCUCCAAAGCAUACAAUCAUGGGAUUAUUGUUUUCUUCUGAAAUGAGCUUUCUCACUUAAGACUCUCCACUUCUAGGCUGCCUGAAAUUUAUGCUGUGUGUGAAAAAAUUAAAUUUAUAGUAAGUGACACAGACAGAUGCCUACUGCCAAAUUGGUAGCUUUUGUUGCUUUUGUUUCUGCCUUUUAAUCAAAAUCAAGUCUGCUUAAAAAGUCCAAAACAAUCCUCCCAUCCCAGACCACUCUCCUACAUUUUCCGAACAAAGGGCUCAAAGUCACAAAACCGCAAGAUCAUGACCUGGGCCAAAACCAAGAGUUGAACGCUUAACCAAAUGAGCCACCGAGGAGCCCCAAGCAACCUCUCUACAUACUUUGGAUGGAAGGAUAACUUCUGACAAUUCACUUAACUUCUCUUGGUGCCUAAGCUUUCACUGUAAAAUUGGGGUGACAUCAUUUACCUUACAGGACUGGGGAGAGGAUUAAAUGAAGCAUAGUGGUAGCGGUAAGAAGUGCUUAUACAUAUCACCUGCUUUUACAUUUUACACUACAUCUGUUGUAAGUACUCCAUUUUUGCUUCGUAUUUCAGGUGUUUCCAGUUCAACUAUCAAGGUUAUGGAGCAAUAAUAUUGUCCAGCCCACUGCUGGAGCUGUACUAGAUGGUUGGCAAAUCCAUGCUGGAAAA